AUACGGAGGGGGCUAGCGUUGUUCGGAAUUACUGGGCGUAAAGCGCGCGUAGGCGGAUUGAUCAGUCAGGGGUGAAAUCCCGAGGCUUAACCUCGGAACUGCCUCUGAUACUGUCAAUCUUGAGUUCGAGAGAGGUGAGUGGAAUUCCUAGUGUAGAGGCGAAAUUCGUAGAUAUUAGGAAGAACACCAGUGGCGAAGGCGGCUCACUGGCUCGAUACUGACGCUGAGGUGCGAAAGCGUGGGGAGCAAACAGGAUUAGAAACCCUAGUAGUCC
rnacentral:rRNA from 1 species